rnacentral:lncRNA from 1 species
GCUCGGAUCCAUCUUGCAAGUUCCCCAUUUAUUAGAAUUGCCAUCUUGGAAGAAUGCAGAAUAGAAGGAAUCUAUUUGCACCACUUGCUUCCAAACCCCCUGGCCUCUAAUAAGGUGAUGAGAAAUCUCCAAUCUAUAUUAUCGAAAGCCUUCUCAAAAUCUAUUUUGAAUAGUAUCCCUUUCUCCCUUCUUCUUGCUCGAAGUGAGAAUCUCCAUUACACUGAGAUA